AGCAGUGUGGCCUAGUGGAAAGAGCAUGGGCUUGGAAGUCAGAGGACCUGGGUUCUAAUCCCGGCUCUUCCA
rfam:Ornithorhynchus anatinus chromosome 2, whole genome shotgun sequence.